GAUGAACGCUGGCGGCGUGCUUAACACAUGCAAGUCGAACGGGGAACCUUUUAAUGAAGCUUCGGCAGAUUUAGCUGGUUUCUAGUGGCGGACGGGUGAGUAACGCGUGGGUAACCUGCCUUAUACAGGGGGAUAACAGUCAGAAAUGACUGCUAAUACCGCAUAAGCGCACAGGACCGCAUGGUCCGGUGUGAAAAACUCCGGUGGUAUAAGAUGGACCCGCGUUGGAUUAGCUUGUUGGUGGGGUAACGGCUCACCAAGGCGACGAUCCAUAGCCGGCCUGAGAGGGUGAACGGCCACAUUGGGACUGAGACACGGCCCAGACUCCUACGGGAGGCAGCAGUGGGGAAUAUUGCACAAUGGGGGAAACCCUGAUGCAGCGACGCCGCGUGAAGGAAGAAGUAUCUCGGGAUGUAAACUUCUAUCAGCAGGGAAGAUAGUGACGGUACCUGACUAAGAAGCCCCGGCUAACUACGUG
rnacentral:rRNA from 1 species